rfam:Mesorhizobium sp. TASWS1009 41, whole genome shotgun sequence.
AGCGCGGACCGGGCCCCUCUGACGUUUGCGCUAUGCGCGAUCGUGAUGUCGGACCGCUUAA